AGAUGUGUGUGUGUGUAGAUAGUGUUUGCAAGAGUGUCUCUGUCCGUGACACUGUCUACAAAAACAGAAUUGAGUUUUUUUUUUUUUGGCACAGCGAAGCUGGAGUAUUAUGGUCUGUUUGAUACCUAUGGUCUGUUUUGUGGCUGCGAGACCCCUGCUUGAUUUUUUGUGUGCAUGUGUAUGUGUGACUGUUAUUUACCUGCGGCACAAAAAAGGAUUCCAUUAACAGUCAUGGAUAACAUAGACGUUUAUCCUGUUCUUUUGACAUUCUUAAGAAUAUGUUUGUUUCAACAAGGAUGAUGGCAUGGAAAGCCUACCAAGCAUAGCAAGAAUUAGAACAACCCACGACAACGCUCAAUUGGCCAAGGGCAGCUUCCAACAGCUCUGAAGACUGCUCUGAUUGGUUCAGGGCUGAGCCGGGAUGAAGGAGCAGGAAGACGUCUGUUCUGGACAGAGUUUUGCACUCAGUUUUGUCAGUUUUCUGGGCUUUGAGUUGGGGAGGAGUUCGGUUGAGUCCAUGUGCUGAAACCCUCCUGGGUAGCGACGGGAGCACAGAGACCUGGGACUUCUGCCAAAAGGCCGACAAAAACAUUUGUGACAUUCUCAGAGACGUACCCCCCUCCCACUCACCUCCCUCCCCCAAGUCUGCUUCCAUCUCCUCGUUGGUUAAUUUAGCCUAUCGAGCCCCCCCCCUCCUACCACCGCCUCUCAGGGGUUCUGAUAUUAUCCCUGGAUGAAGUGAGACAGGAGUGGAAGGAGGAAGAAAGGAGUAGUACAAAACUCUCGUCCAAAUAGCAAGGAGGGGAUUGUGGGAAGGGGGCGUAGCAAUGAGAGGGUGUGCACUCCAUUUCUGCACUCCCUUCUUCCCGCCAUAACAGGCCUCUUCUCCUCCAGUUUUUCCUCUCUUCGGCCCUGCCAGUCGUCGCCACAGAAACGAUGUCCAGGUAUUUUUCCUUUUUAUCCUUAAACUACCCUUUCUCAACUUCCUCUUGCCCUACUUCUCUCCUUUUCAUGCUCGAUCACUUCGUUCCUGUCUCCUCUCCUUCCAGUCUUGUCAUUACUCCUUAUUUGAACCUUCCGGAUGCCACGCUGCAUUCAGCGCUCCGCCAUCUUUGUUUUCUAAUUUUUGGGAAAGGUUUUCUGUUCACUGGAGGCUUGCCUCCCUGAUUUCUCAUUUCUUUCCUCCCUGUCUGCUAUGGAGAGACAAGCAGGCUUUGACAGACCAAUAAACAAUAUUGCCUGUGGGAAGUGCUGGACAGAGCAGGUGUCUCAUGAAAAUGAUAUGGAAUACAAGUGGUCAUGUACCUGAGCGUGGAACACAUGGCAUAAGUGAGUCUCUAUGAGCGCAAAAGGGUUGUGAAUGUAAGAGUGUGCGUGUGCAUGUGAAUGCGGAGAAAAGGUAUGUAAAAUUAAGUAGGUUUGAACACCAUUUGUACUUAAAUUAAAGUAUAGGCUAUUAAAGUAGCUGUGAUCAACGAGACAGGUACACACAUAUAGCAGUCUUAUUGCCACAGGUAGUCAUGAUGGGUCAGCAGGGAAAUAUUUACCUUUCUUAACUUUCUCUAAACACUGUUGUGUUUCUCAUGCCCCCUACCAUGAAACCCCGUUGUUUGGUGACUGUGUGUGUGUAUGUGCAUACAUGCAAAGGGCGUACUGUGUUUUAUAGUGUCUGCUGAACUGUACUGUUUGCGUGGAUGUUUUCUUCAUAACAGGAAACCCAGACAGGAACAAAACUUUGUCAGUAUGUCAGACAUACUAGCAUCCUGAUAAGACACUUCUCUCAUGGUGAUGCAGAACAAAACAACAGUAACUAGCUGCAGUUGAGUUAUUACACAUCAGUCUGACAGAUGGCUGGCAUGUGACACAAUUAACAUUAGGCACCAAUAUUCAUAUUUCUUGGCAAACAAAAGCAGGACACAUUCACAUUCUGUUUCCAUCUAUAGGCUGAAGAGUCAUCUGUUAUUCAGUAUAGUGGAUUUACUACAAAUUAGAGAGAAGGAAUGGAGAAGGGAACAGGGGAGCGAUGAGAGAAAUCGACAGAGACACUAAGAGAGAAGGAGAAUGAAGAAAAAAAGAGAAAUAGAGAGAGAGGCGUGGUGAGGAGAGCAUUUUUCUCCGCCUUCUCCUAUCCUCAGAUGAACUCCUCAUGUUGCCUCAUAAUGCUGAUGUUUUUUUCACUCCUGGAGGCAGCCUGGCUUACUUCCUGCUUUCAGCCACCACUCGGCUGAUUGGUCGAUAUCUCUUUGCUCAAUGGCCACGGCCAAGGAAAAGCAACAGGAAGUGCUUCGGCUAACGCAGGACACGAGUAUGCUUAACAAUUUUUUGGGGGGGAAAUACACACAGUUGUGAUCGAGUGUGUGUGUGCAUUUCAGGAUGUUUGAAUGCAUGUGUGUGUGUGUGUGUGUGUCAGAGCAACUAAGAACUAAGAGCACAAAGGGGAAAGGGACGACGACUAGCGAGAUAUAGAGGAAACAACUGGGAGUAGGGGGGUGGGGUUAGAAUAGAGCCAACAGAAUCUGAGAACUAAGUUAAAGUAGGUUACAUUGCACAAUUUUGUGAAUUUAAAUGCUCAGUCUCUGCCCUGCUCUAAUGUCCCAUACACAUGUUGUAUUUAUCACAUCCUGGUGUCACCUGGUGUUUUUCUCAGCUCAGUAUAGUACAUAGUGUGUGCGUUGAUGUGGAUCGCAAGACAAGUGGGCGCCUCGCCAAGUGGGUACCAAAUGGGUUCAGUCGCCACCUACCCUCACCCUCCCAGACACACAUACUAUCCCCCCCAUCAGUCUGUAACUCAUAAAGAGGCAUUCCUCUGUGAAUGGGCAUGGAAAAGCUGGCAUAACAAUAUCAAACGAACACUUCCUGGCUCCCAUGUUGACUCCUGUAACAGACAGACAAUAUCAGUCGCCAGCUAAAGUGGGGGGGCUGGAGCUUACCCUUGCAUUAAAACCAUUGUUUGCUGGAAGUAAUUUCUACUAGUGUUGUAUUCGUCAUGAUGCCAUUGAUUGUGGGGCAUUCUGCCGCAGGAAACACCUUCUCCCUGUGCCUGCCACCACCAAGCCCCCACCCCCUCACAUUUACCACCUCCUUCCUUGCCUCAUUUAAAUUCUGCCUGGCACACAGACGCUGCCCAUUACUUGGCACUGGGCAGAGAGAGUGAGAGAGAGAGAGAGAGAGAGAGAGAGAGAGAGAGAGAGAGAGAGAGAGAGAGAGAGAGA